GUCCAAGUUCCCUUUGACUUUUUCAGCGCGUAGUAUAGUAAGGGGGGACUCGAGACCACAUUACCUCAAGCCGGGGAGUUCAUUCUGAUGUUAUCAGCCCCACUUCUCGACUGGGAAUCGGGUGGCCCGACAUUCUAAUACCUCUAUUGACAAAAAAUAUAUCAGGAUAAUCUUCGAGGGACGGAUACCUGAGUUUGGACCUGAGUUUAAAUUAUUUUGGGGAAAAAAAUGGUUACAAAAAAUUGUCGAUCUUUGCUACGACUGCGCUCAAGUACCUAUGGUACACUUUCUUUUGAACAAUAAUAGAUCAUCAUACGUACUCUGCAAACCGUUAGAACACACAAGUGAUCACAUUACAACGUUGCCUGUUGUCUCUUCAUACUUUAAAAAACGGAUUUCUUAUCGGGUUUUACUGUAAAUACUUUGUAAAAGCUUACGCGUUUAAAAAAGUGUAUUGUAUUUUGUGGUGUGUAGAUCCGUAUUGGACAAGGCUCGAUUAUGUCGUGGUGACACUUGACUAAAGCGAGAACACGACUGAUAAAGUGUGAACGUCACAACACCGCAAAUUAGCGUAUCGUGUGGUUGAUAAGACACAUCGUCUUGUUUUCUGGAUUCAUUGGAGAACUGACAUACUUUUCCCAACGUGUAAAGACUGAUAUAUGAACCCUGACUUGACCUCGACAACAAAGUGGUCUACUGAACAGCGUCCUUUGGAGUAGUUCGGUGGCCACAUCAGGGCGCAUAUCGUCGAUCUUGUCUUUCUUUUGGAACAAUUUCGGGUGCUAAUGUGGACUCGCUGGCAUGACGUCAGGCCACGCCUCAUCACUGUCAUCAAGUAGUCGAGGCCCCGCCCACAUCAGGCUUGACUGGCGUGCACUGCAGCUUCCCCUCAUCCUGCUCCUUUCCUUCUUCACGCCCGCAGAAUCCGGUGAGUGUCCACAGAAUG